rnacentral:rRNA from 1 species
AUUGAACGCUGGCGGCAGGCCUAACACAUGCAAGUCGGACGGUAGCACAGAGAGCUUGCUCUUGGGUGACGAGUGGCGGACGGGUGAGUAAUGUCUGGGGAUCUGCCCGAUAGAGGGGGAUAACCACUGGAAACGGUGGCUAAUACCGCAUAACGUCGCAAGACCAAAGAGGGGGACCUUCGGGCCUCUCACUAUCGGAUGAACCCAGAUGGGAUUAGCUAGUAGGCGGGGUAAUGGCCCACCUAGGCGACGAUCCCUAGCUGGUCUGAGAAGAUGACCAUCCACACUGGAACUGAGAUACGGUACAGACUCCUACGGGAGGCAGCAGUGGGGAAGAUUACACAAUGGGCGCAAGCCUGAUGCAGCCAUGCCGCGUGUAUGAAGAAGGCCUUCGGGUUGUAAAGUACUUUCAGCGGGGAGGAAGGCGGUACGGUUAAUAACCGUACCGAUUGACGUUACCCGCAGAAGAAGCACCGGCUAACUCCGUGCCAGCCGCCGCGGUAA